AUUGAACGCUGGCGGCAUGCCUAACACAUGCAAGUCGAGCGGAUGAAGGGAGCUUUCUCCUGGAUUCAGCGGCGGACGGGUGAGUAAUUCCUAGGAAUCUGCCUUGUAGUUAGGGAUAACGUCCGUAAACGGGCGCUAAUACCGCAUACGUCCUUAUGUAGAACGUCGGGGAUCUUCGGACCUCACGCUAUUAGCUGUCCCUAGGUCGGAUUAGCUAGUUGGUGUGGUAAAGGCCUACCAAGGCGACGAUCCGUAACUGGUCUGAGAGGAUGAUCAGUCACACUGGAACCGAGACACGGUCCAGACUCCUACGGGAGGCAGCAGUGGGGAAUAUUGGACAAUGGGCGAAAGCCUGAUCCAGCCAUGCCGCGUGUGUGAAGAAGGUCUUCGGAUUGUAAAGCACUUUAAGUUGGGAGGAAGGGCAGUAAGUUAAUACCUUGCUGUUUUGACGUUACCAAAAGAAUAAGCACCGGCUAACUUCGUG
rnacentral:rRNA from 1 species